rnacentral:lncRNA from 1 species
GUGGCAGAGGCACGACACAGCACAACUUCCCCUUACCUGCAGGCUGGAAAGGAAAACAGUCUAGCACCUUGGAGCAUUUGAUCCUUGGCUUCUCCACUGAGAUGGAGAAAUCAGCAUGGCACACAGGGAGAUUUCAUGGUGUGACAUCUCCACUUGGAAACCAGCCUGAAAAAUACCAAAAACAGAGCCAAAAGUGGCUAUCAGCCUCAAGUAGAAGUACCCCAUUUUGACAUUUGACCUGUUAGAAGAGAAGGGAGCAGACAGACCCACAUCACUCGGUGAUCCAGGAGGCAAUCUGUCCAGGAAGUAUGGACUCCAGAAACCUACAACGAGCUCCACACCUUCUUAUCCAGGUGGCAUAGUGCCUCUACUCACUCUGUUAAG